GGACUUUCCAUCUGCUGCACAGAAAAAGCCAUGCUCCCACAGGGCGCAGUUGGGUUUUUAUUCUGUUCACAGUGCAGAGAUAACAGGGCUUUCCUUGUUGCCAACUCACAAGUCUCAUUUGUUGCGGUAAGGCAGACACACACAAACCUCAGCUCUCACACCAGAAAGGAAAAAUGAGACCUCUACAGUUGUAAAGAGGAACUUAAAGCGCCGUGACUUCAGUACUCACCUCCAGACAAUAAACAAGCACAGCCUCUCACUUAUUUUUAAGCCCAUCGUGGUGUGAGAAGUGGACCUCCCUUGCAAGCACUGAACAUUUAGGUUUAACACCGUGCUUGUCUUCGUGCAUCAUAGAAUCAUAUCAUAGAAUCAUAGAAUGGCCUGGGUUGAAAAGGACCACAGUGCUCAUCCAGUUCCAACCCCCUGCUAUGUGCAGGGUCGCCAACCACCAGACCAGGCUGCCCAGAGCCACAUCCAGCCUGGCCUUGAAUGCCUCCAGGGAGGCAUCACUGAUUCAUCUCACUUCCAACUGCAAACCUUUCACCAACAGGAAUACACAUGAUGCAGAUAGAGCCCAGCUUGAACUUACAGACUAUCAGGACAGGAAAAAGUCAUCCCAAGUGCCUCAUGUGUAUUUAUUUCUGUGGCAUUACUCUUCAGCAAAGGGCUGGGUUUCCAUAUAGUGAGAGGAAGGUCCACAAGUGCAGCUCAUCUGGGUUCAUUCUGACAUAACUGAUGCUGGUGCCAUUUUUGGCCCAUUAAACCACAUACAAACCCAUACAUCAGGUACAUAUUUGCACAAUGGGACCCAGAUCUGAGUUCCUAGUGAGAAGCAGCAACACUCCUGCUCUGCUUCCCACCCCACAUGACAGCAUGGGAGAGCCCUGCUUUUCUCUCCCAGAACUCUGCUUAGGUGUCAGUGUGCCCUUUAACAGAUAAUGCAACCAUGAUGCCAUGGAAUUUUGCAUAAAUACUCAAAGCAAAGGCAGGCUGAGAAAACUGGGAGCAACAGCAAGUGCCUAAUCAAAGUGAGGUGAAGAGAAAUUGAAAAGAAGGGAUCAAAACAGAGAUACUCUUGCCUCAAAAGCAGGGAGAGUACUGCAAUACUUUUGCUUACUUGGAAAAGGAACACUUCCUCUAGGAGUGAAGAUUCCUGCUGUUCUGUUUCAACCUGCAAUGAGAUGGACCCAAAGCAAAAUGGGGAGGGAGAGAAGAUGUAAGGGCCUGAGGGAAAAAAAUCAAGAGGAACCAGAGCAGGAAAAUGAAAGUGGGUUUGGGGUGGCAGGGGAGCAAAGUGCAGAAACAGAGCUCUCGGUGGAGCAGAUGGGAAAGGGAGGCGGAAAGCAGAGGUGUGAGGGGAUGGUUUGAAGUUCCUGCUCCUUAUAUCUUAGAACAUGGGAGGCUUGUUUUAACUGAAAUACUGCAGCAGGCAGUCAGACCAAGGAAGCCUCCGAGUAAGCAAAUCUCCUGCUGAGAUAAAGCAGCACGUCGGUGCUGAUGUCAGUCAGAGCAUUGUUGAUACUCGUCUCCAUGAGACCUCCAGCAGCUGGGACUGAUGGGCACGCUGCCCCACCAGUGUCACAAAGCUAACGGAUGCACAUGCCUACAGCCUCGGAUGUCACACUGGCUCUAAGUCAGGUGCUCAGCCUAUCUUCACCCACUUCUCCUGACAGCGUCAUUUCCUACACACGUGGAAGACAGCAUUACUCUUUCCAAUCCUUAAAGGGAGCUUAUAAGCAGGAGGUAAAUCAACUUUUUACGCAGGUAGGUAGUGAUAGGACAAAGGGAAAUGGUUUGAAACUUAAAGAGAGGAGAUGUAGAUUAGAUGGCAGGGAAGUCUUCCACUGAGAGGGCGGUGAGGUGCUGGCCCAGGCUGCCCACAGAGCUGUGGGUGCCCCAUCCUGGAGGUGCCCAAGGCCACAGAUGGGGCCCCAGGCAGCCUGAGCUGGUGCCUGGUGCAGUGUUUGGCAGCCCUGCCCAUGGCAGCGGGUGGAACUAGGCGAUCGUUGAAGUCCCUUCUGAUCGAAGCUAUUCUACUCAUACCAAAAGGCACACAAAAUGCUUCAUGUGAAGCCAUUAUCAGAAGCAAUAUGAACUACCUGAGUGGAAUUGUCUUCUGGCUCCAAGGAACUUAAAGAGAUUCUGUGCAGGGCAGGAACAGAAUAUAAACAGUUGGCAUCUGAUCUGCAUUCACCUUGACUCCCACUCUGUAGGUGCAUCCAGAGAGACAGAACAUAUCGGAUAAGUGUGAGCUGCAUUUUAUUGAAAGCUUUGUUCAACCGGCAAGAAAUCAUGUGCCAGCUCUGAGUUCAACCAUUAAUAACAGAAACAGAUUAAUUGUAAUCUCACCCACGGAAAGCUACAGGUGAACCAACACCUGCCUCCAGUUCUUCUGCAGCUAUAAUUUGUAUCCUAUUCUCCUAACUGAAGUACGUACUAGAAGGGUUUCUACAAGACAAGCUUCUCAGCUGGAAUAAUUCUUUAGUUUUCUCUGUUCUGUGACUUUGCAUUACACUGUAGGUGUAUGUGAACUGUUGAGUCCCGGCCUGAAGCAGUGAUGGAGCACCUGGGGAAAGGAUCCGGUCAGCCCUGGGAGCACAGGUGAAGGCAAUGCAGCUGUGUGAUAGGAAGGGAUGUAGCCUGGCUGCACCUCUCUUAGACCUCAUUUAAGGGCUGACUGCCCCUGGGGAAGAAUCUCUUUCUGGAGAUCCCUCCUUGGUGGAGCUUUCCCUGUGAACCUGGAAUCUUCUGAUGCAGGCCCAGCACUGAAAGGAGCUCAAGUGACAAACUGCAGCUACGAGUGAGAUUGCAGAUGUAGAAACCAUGACCCCAACUCAUCGGUUUUGUAUUGGCCUCAAACCAGAACUCGGGUUCGCUGCUUUAGGAAUUCUUGAUUCAGUUCUCCCAGCACCACCCUAACAGAGCAGCACAGCGGCCAUUAAGUCCAAAGACUCAAGUUCAGCCAAAGCAGCUGUAGUGAGUACUACUUUGCCCUUCUGCCAUAGGUUUCUCUUUCCAAAUUGGGAUAGCCAAAUAUCAUACCUGCUUCUCAUUAGAUGUGAACUGCUGCCAUUUUUCACUGCUAUUAUUAUUAUUGUAAACAACAGACAUAAAGUUCUGUUGUAGAUCAAGGAAAGACACGAGAAGAGACAGUAUUUUGGAACACAGAUACAUUUUUAAUGAUUUAACACACAGUAGAGACAAUUUGAAUAGCCUAACAACCAGGGAAGGGAGACGCACUCUCUGCCACAGUGAAUGGGCAAUGGUCACAAUGCACUUCUGAACAUCCCUCUGACAGGGAGCAGGAACCCCCACUAAAGCCAUCCACAUCAAGUUGGUUCUUAGGACUUCUCACAAUUACUGCUUCAAGGCAGAGAUAUCACCAGUGGAAGAAUAAAUACCAAGUUGGAAAAGAAAUCCAGGGUAAGCCAUCAGUACCUUGAUCUUUGUACAGCAACGUGACAUGCAGCAAUACAUCCCAGCAGCAAUGAUAUAACAAGACCACCCUGAUGGCCUUUCCUUAUGAAGUGUGGAAGGGAGGUGAAGAAUCUGUUUAACACUGAAAAGAGAAGCGAGUAACCUCUGCUACCCUCUUAAGACAGCAUUUCAUAUUGCACCUUCACCCUGCAUCAUGCUUGCUGCAGCGACUUGCCAUAGGAUGGCAGCAAAGGGGAAAUGUUUCCAUCUGGAUAAACUGCUCAUGCUACAGCUUUGGGAGAAACAAGACUUCCAAGAGAAUCUGCUGACAGAAUCACUGUCUCACUUGAUGAGUUCUGGGAAAGAACAAUGAAAACAAUGCAAGUGGAUUUUAUCAGGCAGUUGGUAACACUACUUGUUUAUACUGCACGAAACUUUAAUUGAAAACAUAAGAUAUCUUGCUGUAGCAUUGCACAGAUAUCUUUUGCACCAGGACACUUCACCACCACGCUUGGUUUUUUUAAAUAAAGCCUCUGUAGAAUGUCUUUCUUUCAGACUGGGAAUAGGAAGCAGCAGUUUCAACAUGCAUAUGCAAAAUCAGAACCACUGAAGUGGCCUUGCUGCACAGAGAUGGCUGGGGUAAAAACAGGGGAAAUGAGGCUUUGCAUAGCAAAAAAAACAGCCCAGUUUUGUCUGGUGCUUGGCCUUCACAUAGUGACAUGUAGGGAAAGCACAGAUUUAGUCAAUAUCUUACACAGUCUCUACCCAUCUCCCCUGUGUUGAGCAGCCUUACUUAAGGAGUCAACUGUAGAAAACUGUAGAAACUGGGAGAAUCAACUCUGUUCUACUGCCAUUCUGAUCAGGCUGAAACUUCAGAGCAGCAUGUCAAACAGCAAAGUAAAACACCCUGAUGGUUUAAUUGAGCUCACGCAACAUGGAUGCCCUCAGAGAAGGGCUUGCACCAUAUUCUAACAUUCUAGCAUAAUUACUUCAUGAACAAGGAUGUCAUUAGGCAAGGAUCCUGGAAGAACUCCACCCUUUUGCCUCCUGCACAACCAGAAGUGAAGCACAAUUGAAUUACUGAGUCCUGAA